rnacentral:misc_RNA from 1 species
UUUCCGUAGGUGAACCUGCGGAAGGAUCAUUCAUAAUAAAGUGUUUUAUGGCACUUUUUAAAAAUCCAUAUCCACCUUGUGUGCAAUGUUAGAUCUCGUCAAUCUUGGCGAGAUUUUUAUACAUCAACUCAUUCUUUAACUAAUUUGUCUGAAAAAUAUUAUGAAUACUUAAUUCAAAAUAAAUACAACUUUCAACAACGGAUCUCUUGGCUCUC